rnacentral:rRNA from 1 species
UGGGGAAUCUUGCACAAUGGGGGCAACCCUGAUGCAGCGACGCCGCGUGAGCGAUGAAGCCCUUCGGGGCGUAAAGCUCUUUCGACCGGAACGAUAAUGACGGUACCGGGAGAAGAAGCUGCGGCUAACUACGUGCCAGCAGCCGCGGUAAUACGUAGGCAGCAAGCGUUGUUCGGAGUUACUGGGCGUAAAGAGUGCGUAGGCGGUUUUCUAAGUUCGGUGUGAAAUCUCCCGGCUUAACUGGGAGGGUGCGCCGAAGACUGGGAAGCGGGAGUGUGGGAAAGGCAGGCGGAAUUCCUGGUGUAGCUGUGAAAUGCGUAGAGAUCAGGAGGAACACCGGCGGUGUAGACGGCUUGCUAGACCAUAACUGACGCUGAGGCACGAAAGCGUGGGUAGCAAACA